rnacentral:rRNA from 1 species
CAAUAGCGUAUAUUUAAGUUGUUGCAGUUAAAAAGCUCGUAGUUGGAUUUCUGCUGAUCGCUGUCGGUCUGCCGUCAGGUGUGUACUGGCAGUGUUUGGCAUCUAUUCGAGAUUGGGUGUCCACUUGAUUGUGUGCACUCGAUGUCGGAGCUAAUACUUUGAGAAAAUUAGAGUGUUCCACGCAGGCGCGUGCCUUGAAUACUGCAGCAUGGGAUAUUGGAAGGCCGAUUGAGCUUUCUUGUUGGUUCUCGGUUUGAUCGGAAUGAUUAAUAGGGAUAGUUGGGGGCAUUCGUAUUCAACUGUCAGAGGUGAAAUUCUUGGAUUUGUCGAAGACGGACUACUGCGAAAGCAUCUGCCAUGGAUGUUCUCAUUGA